rnacentral:rRNA from 1 species
UACGAGGGGGGCGAGCGUUGUUCGGAAUUAUUGGGCGUAAAGGGUGCGUAGGCGGUUUGGUAAGUCUUGUGUGAAAUCUACAGGCUCAACUUGUAGUCUGCACGAGAAACUGCCGGGCUUGAGUGUGGGAGAGGUGAGUGGAAUUCCUGGUGUAGCGGUGAAAUGCGUAGAUAUCAGGAGGAACACCGAUGGCGAAGGCAGGUCUCUGGGCAUUAACUGACGCUGAGGAGCGAAAGCAUGGGGAGCGAACAGG